GGGUCAGUAGGUUGGUCGUGCCACCGGUACGUACUGGUCUCACUGAUUCCUCCUUCCUGAAGAACCGUAAUGCCAUUAAUUUGGUGUUGCGGGGAAACAGGACUGUUACUUUGAAAAAAUUAGAGUGUUUAGAGCAAGCUAACGCUUGAAUACAUUAGCAUGGAAUAACGAAAUAGGACGAUCGAUCCUAUUUUGUUGGUUUCUAGGAUUGACGUA
rnacentral:rRNA from 1 species